rnacentral:rRNA from 1 species
GUUAGGAAUAUUGGACAAUGGGCGCAAGCCUGAUCCAGCCAUGCCGCGUGAGUGAUGAAGGCCUUCGGGUUGUAAAGCUCUUUAGCCGAUGAUUAUAAUGACUGUAGUCGGAAAAUAAGCCCCGGCUAACUUCGUGCCAGCAGCCGCGGUAAUACGAAGGGGGCGAGCGUUAUUCGGAAUCACUGGGCGUAAAGCGUGCGUAGGCGGCUUUGCAAGUUGGGAGUGAAAGCCCAGGGCUCAACCCUGGAAUUGCUCUCAAAACUGCAAGGCUCGAAUUCGGGAGAGGAUAGCGGAAUUGUCAGUGUAGCAGUGAAAUGCGUAGAUAUUGACAGGAACACCAGUGGCGUAAGCGGCUAUCUGGACCGAUAUUGACGCUGAGGCACGAAAGCGUGGGGAUCAAACAGGAUUAGAUACCCCUGUAGUCC